GACGAACGCUGGCGGCGUGGAUUAGGCAUGCAAGUCGAACGGUAUCAUCCUUUCGGGGGUGAGAGAGUGGCGAACUGGUGAGUAACACGUAGGUUAUCUACCCUCAAGACGGGGACAACCCAGGGAAACUUGGGCUAAUACCGGAUGUGAGCAACUUUUAGUUGUUUGAAAGGUGGCGUAAGCUGUCGCUUGGGGAUGAGCCUGCGUCCUAUUAGUUAGUUGGUGAGGUAACGGCUCACCUAGGCAAUGAUAGGUAGGCGGCCUUAACGGGUGGUCGCCCACACUGGGAUUGAGAUACGGCCCAGACUCCUACGGGAGGCAGCAGUCGAGAAUAGUCUACAAUGGUCGGAAGACUGAUAGUGCGACGCCGCGUGAACGAUGAAUCCCUUCGGGGUGUAAAGUUCUUUUAUAUGUGAGCAGUGCUUCUUAUAUUAACAGUAUGGGGAAGAGAUAUUAGCAUAUGAAUAAGCAACGGCUAAACUCCGUGCCAGCAGCCCGGU
rnacentral:rRNA from 1 species